rnacentral:rRNA from 1 species
GACGAACGCUGGCGGCGUGCUUAACACAUGCAAGUCGAACGGAAAGGCCCUGCUUUUGUGGGGUGCUCGAGUGGCGAACGGGUGAGUAACACGUGAGUAACCUGCCCUUGACUUUGGGAUAACUUCAGGAAACUGGGGCUAAUACCGGAUAGGAGCUCCUGCUGCAUGGUGGGGGUUGGAAAGUUUCGGCGGUUGGGGAUGGACUCGCGGCUUAUCAGCUUGUUGGUGGGGUAGUGGCUUACCAAGGCUUUGACGGGUAGCCGGCCUGGGAGGGUGACCGGCCACAAUGGGACUGAGGUACGGCCCAGACUCCUACGGGAGGCAGCAGUGGGGAGUAUUGCACAAUGGGCGGAAGCCUGAUGCAGCAACGCCGCGGGCGGGAUGACGGCCUUCGGGUUGUGAACCGCUUUCGCCUGUGACGAAGCGUGAGUGACGGUAAUGGGUAAAGAAGCACCGGCUAACUACGUG